rnacentral:rRNA from 1 species
AGCGAACGCUGGCGGCAGGCCUAACACAUGCAAGUCGAACGGACCCUUCGGGGUUAGUGGCGGACGGGUGAGUAACACGUGGGAACGUGCCUUUAGGUUCGGAAUAGCUCCUGGAAACGGGUGGUAAUGCCGAAUGUGCCCUUCGGGGGAAAGAUUUAUCGCCUUUAGAGCGGCCCGCGUCUGAUUAGCUAGUUGGUGAGGUAAUGGCUCACCAAGGCGACGAUCAGUAGCUGGUCUGAGAGGAUGACCAGCCACAUUGGGACUGAGACACGGCCCAAACUCCUACGGGAGGCAGCAGUGGGGAAUCUUGCGCAAUGGGCGAAAGCCUGACGCAGCCAUGCCGCGUGGAUGAUGAAGGUCUUAGGAUUGUAAAAUCCUUUCACCGGUGAAGAUAAUGACUGUAGCCGGAGAAGAAGCCCCGGCUAACUUCGUGCCAGCCGCCGCCGUAAAAC